rnacentral:rRNA from 1 species
AAGGAUCCCCUCAGUAAGGGCGACUGAAGCGGGGACAGUGCAAGUUGUCAAUCUCUUUACUGAGAAUUGUAGUCUAUCGAAACAGCGUCCCGGUCUUGACAGCAGGUAUAAGUCCGUUGGAACACGGCAUCCAAGAGGGUGAGAAUCCCGUUCGUGAUCUGCUUUCGUCUUGAUCGGUUUUGAUGCGUUCUCUACGAGUCGGGUUGCUUGGGAUUGCAGCUCUAAGCGGGUGGUAAACUCCAUCUAACACUAAAUAUCGGCGGUUGACCGAUAGCGAACAAGUACUGUG